rnacentral:lncRNA from 1 species
UUUUAUUGCAGGAUUUCAAAAAUAGAAUAAAAUUAAAAAUUAAGUGAUAUAAAUGGGAUAUUAACAAGUAAAAUGGCAUAUGCAAAGUAAUUAUGCUAUGGACGUUUUUAUGUCUCGAAUACAACGAAAAUGAACAAUCUUUCAGAUCAUCAGGGACCAAAAUCCCUGACGAAAGUCGACAGUAUUGGCUGCUUGGAAACGCUUAGGUUUUACACUCCUCUUUUCGAUUCUCGAAUCUCACUCUUUGGAAAUUUUAUUCAUGGAAGGCUCAGUCCAUCGAGCCUCAUCUUCCACAGGAAUGGGCAAUCUGUGAAAGGGCUUGUUUCGCUCUGCCACUUAACACACUACCUGAGUGGAAAGUGGCGACAUCUGUUGACAAGUCCCUGACGAAGGACUUGAGUUUUACUGUACAAUAUAUUAAAUGUUAAUCUUGAGUUAAAAUUAAUACAUUUAUGGAUUUCAAUAUUUUUAUUUAUUUAUUUUUUUCUAAUAAAAUUGAAUUUUUUUAAAAACAAAAAAAUACCUUAAUUAUUAGUGUGUUUAUGUAGAUCAUACCAGUUUUUUCCACUUUUCAAUUAAAUAAUAUAAAAUUAGCCUGCAUUAAAAUUUUUUUCAAUGUUUAUUGCACAAAUUAUCGUUAAAUCAAUAUAUAUUAAAUUAUGCACUUUUUGCUUUGGAUCUGUUGGUCACAUUUAUAAAUAACGGAAAUUUUAUUCAUGGAAGGCU